UGGAACCACGCAGAGGCAGAGAAGCCAGCCUCGGGUAGCAGUACGGAUUUUACAGACAAAGGACUGCUAGGCAACAGGGAGCUACGAACAUAUGUUCUGAGGCUAGUUACAUGGUGAAGAACUCAAAAGUGCCCUUCCAUGGGCCGUGCUGUAUGUAUGAACCGUCCUAUGGUGUCUGAGGCGAGUUACAUGUGAAGAACUCAAAGCGCCCUGCGGAUGGGCUGUGCUGUUUCAUCUGCACCUCCAUGGUUCCCGGCAGACAGGAAGCAGCAUGACCAUACUAAAAUAACCAUUUGGACAGUCCUCCGAAGCUCAGCCCUUCCGGAAAUGCAUCCCAUAGGAACCCUGCUUGGGAAGGAGGCGUUGAAACCCAGCAGCCAAAUCCUGCUACGUGGAAAUGUGGAAGAGUCAAACCGAUGGAGACCCACAAGACAAGUGUGUGGACUGCUCAGAAAGUCAAGCUGUCGGUGACCCCCUAGAUGCUGCUUCAAG
rnacentral:lncRNA from 1 species